UACGUAGGGGGCUAGCGUUGUCCGGAUUUAUUGGGCGUAAAGAGCGUGUAGGCGGCCAGGUAGGUCUGCUGUGAAAACUCGAGGCUCAACCUCGAGACGUCGGCGGAAACCAUCUGGCUAGAGUCCGGAAGAGGAGAGUGGAAUUCCUGGUGUAGCGGUGAAAUACUUAGAUAUGACAUAGAACACCAAUUGCGAAGGCAGCUUACUACACAGUAAUUGACACUGAGGCACGAAAGCGUGGGGAUCAAACAGG
rnacentral:rRNA from 1 species